AGGGGCCGAUAAUCCAGCCUGGUGUUGAUGCUUCUCUGCUCAGGACCUCAGGAGGCUGAGAUCAAGGUGUUGAUUGCUAUGCCAUCAUCUGGAGCUUGGCCAGAGAAAGGGUGCGUCCUGAGAGAAACUCUUGCGACAGCUCCAGAGGUCAAAGGGGCGGCGAAAGGUCUUCACCCAAACCUCAAUCAAGAGAUUUACUGGGAGGGAAGACUCCAGGAAAGUGGCUGCAUCUACCAGGGUGCAAGAAGAACAGCCACAAACUGAACAGGUGAAGACCAGAAUUUAUACUUAAGAUUUCCCACUGUGAUGGUCCCUGGAAAGUUCAUUCACUGGGAGCUUGGUUCCCAGUGCGGCAGUGCCGAGGGUCAGAACUUCCCUGGUGAAUGAAUGCAUCCAUCUGUGGACUAUGCAUGCAUCUAUGGCUGAAUGAAUGACUCUAUGGACAGAUGGGCUAUGGUGAAAGUGGCGAACUUGCUCUCUUUUAUCAUGCAAGAUACAGCCCCUCACCAGGAACUAUGAGCUGAAUACCCCUCUUGUCUUUAUGUAUUAUCCACCCUUAAGUAUUUUGUUACAGCAGCAGAAAAUGGGCCAAGACAACCAAUGAGUAUGAGUCCUCUGUGACUGCUCAAAUACACACCUCAGUAUUCUCAACAUGAAACAUAUGGAUUUCACACCAUGCCUUGCUCACUUCUGCCAAUGAACUCCUUCCUGUGUAAUA